rnacentral:rRNA from 1 species
CAGGCCUAACACAUGCAAGUCGAGCGGGCAUCCUUGUGGUGUCAGCGGCGGACGGGUGAGUAACGCGUGGGAACGUGCCUUCUGGUUCGGAAUAACUCAGGGAAACUUGAGCUAAUACCGGAUACGCCCUUUUGGGGAAAGGUUUACUGCCGGAAGAUCGGCCCGCGUCUGAUUAGCUAGUUGGUGGGGUAACGGCCUACCAAGGCGACGAUCAGUAGCUGGUCUGAGAGGAUGAUCAGCCACACUGGGACUGAGACACGGCCCAGACUCCUACGGGAGGCAGCAGUGGGGAAUAUUGGACAAUGGGCGCAAGCCUGAUCCAGCCAUGCCGCGUGAGUGAUGAAGGCCUUAGGGUUGUAAAGCUCUUUUAUCCGGGACGAUAAUGACGGUAGCCCGGAGGAAUAAGCCCCGGCUAACUUCGUGCCAGCAGCCGCGGUA